AGAGCGAACGCUGGCGGCAGGCCUAACACAUGCAAGUCGAACGGACCCUUCGGGGUUAGUGGCGGACGGGUGAGUAACACGUGGGAACGUGCCUUUUGGUUCGGAAUAGCUCCUGGAAACGGGUGGUAAUGCCGAAUGUGCCCUUCGGGGGAAAGAUUUAUCGCCAUUAGAGCGGCCCGCGUCUGAUUAGCUAGUUGGUGAGGUAAUGGCUCACCAAGGCGACGAUCAGUAGCUGGUCUGAGAGGAUGACCAGCCACAUUGGGACUGAGACACGGCCCAAACUCCUACGGGAGGCAGCAGUGGGAAUCUUGCGCAAUGGGCGAAAGCCUGACGCAGCCAUGCCGCGUGAAUGAUGAAGGUCUUAGGAUUGUAAAAUUCUUUCGACCGGGACGAUAAUGACGGUACCCGGAGAAGAAGCCCCGGCUAACUCGUGCCAGCAGCCGC
rnacentral:rRNA from 1 species